rnacentral:rRNA from 1 species
CCCUUAGAUGUUCUGGGCGGCCCGCGCACUACAAUGGCGCUUUCAGCGAGUUCCUAUGUUGAAUUUUCCUUGGUAUUCUUGGAAGCGGCGUCUUGACUUGGGAUAGAUCCUUGUAAUUGUUGGUUUUGAACGAGGAAUUCCUUGUAAUCGCGGUUGAUCAGCUCGCGUUGAAUACGUCCCUGCCCUUUGUACACACCGCCCGUCGCUCCUACCGAUUGAGUGUUCCGGUGAAUUAUUCGGACUGCAACAGUUAUCUGUCGCGGAAAGUCUUGUGAACCUUAACACUUAGAGGAAGGAAAAGUCGUAACA